rnacentral:rRNA from 1 species
GUGGGGAAUCUUAGACAAUGGGCGCAAGCCUGAUCUAGCCAUGCCGCGUGAGCGAUGAAGGCCUUAGGGUUGUAAAGCUCUUUCGUGGGGGAAGAUAAUGACUGUACCCCAAGAAGAAGCCCCGGCUAACUCCGUGCCAGCAGCCGCGGUAAUACGGAGGGGGCUAGCGUUGUUCGGAAUUACUGGGCGUAAAGCGCACGUAGGCGGACCAGAAAGUCAGAGGUGAAAGCCCGGGGCUCAACCCCGGAACUGCCUUUGAAGCUCCUGGUCUUGAGGUCGAGAGAGGUGGGUGGAAUUCCGAGUGUAGAGGUGAAAUUCGUAGAUAUUCGGAGGAACACCAGUGGCGAAGGCGGCCCACUGGCUCGAUACUGACGCUGAGGUGCGAAAGCGUGGGGAGCAAACAGGAUUAGAAACCCGAGUAGUCC